CACCCGUUCCCAUCCCGAACACGGAAGUUAAGCUUCUCAGCGCCGAUGGUAGUUGGGGCUUUGCCCCUGUGAGAGUAGGACGCCGCCAAGC
rnacentral:rRNA from 1 species